GGACGAACGCUGGCGGCGUGCCUAAUACAUGCACGUUGAACGCACUGACGUCGACAGAAGGUGCUUGCACUGGAAGUUGAUUGACGUGAGUGGCGGACGGGUGAGUAACACGUGGGUAACCUGCCCUUAAGCGGGGGAUAACAUUUGGAAACAGAUGCUAAUACCGCAUAAAAGUUGAGAUCACAUGGUCUUAAUUUGAAAGACGGCCUUUGGCUGUCACUUAAGGAUGGACCCGCGGUGUAUUAGCUAGUUGGUGAGAUAAUAGCCCACCAAGGCGAUGAUACGUAGCCGACCUGAGAGGGUAAUCGGCCACAUUGGGACUGAGACACGGCCCAAACUCCUACGGGAGGCAGCAGUAGGGAAUCUUCCACAAUGGACGAAAGUCUGAUGGAGCAACGCCGCGUGAGUGAAGAAGGUUUUCGGAUCGUAAAACUCUGUUGUUGGAGAAGAACAGGGACUAGAGUAACUGUUAGUCCUUUGACGGUAUCCAACCAGAAAGCCACGGCUAACUACGUGCCAGCAGCCGCGGUAAUACGUAGGUGGCAAGCGUUGUCCGGAUUUAUUGGGCGUAAAGCGAGCGCAGGCGGUUUCUUAAGUCUGAUGUGAAAGCCUUCGGCUUAACCGAAGAAGUGCAUCAGAUACUGGGAAACUUGAGUGCAGAAGAGGAAAGUGGAACUCCAUGUGUAGCGGUGAAAUGCGUAGAUAUAUGGAAGAACACCAGUGGCGAAGGCGGCUUUCUGGUCUGUAACUGACGCUGAGGCUCGAAAGUAUGGGGAGCGAACAGGAUUAGAUACCCUGGUAGUCCAUACCGUAAACGAUGAAUGCUAAGUGUUGGAGGGUUUCCGCCCUUCAGUGCUGCAGCUAACGCAUUAAGCAUUCCGCCUGGGGAGUACGACCGCAAGGUUGAAACUCAAAGGAAUUGACGGGGGCCCGCACAAGCGGUGGAGCAUGUGGUUUAAUUCGAAGCUACGCGAAGAACCUUACCAGGUCUUGACAUCUAGCGCCAAUCCUAGAGAUAGGACGUUCCCUUCGGGGACGCUAAGACAGGUGGUGCAUGGUUGUCGUCAGCUCGUGUCGUGAGAUGUUGGGUUAAGUCCCGCAACGAGCGCAACCCUUAUGAUUAGUUGCCAGCAUUUAGUUGGGCACUCUAAUCAGACUGCCGGUGACAAACC
rnacentral:rRNA from 1 species